rnacentral:tRNA from 1 species
CCAAAAUGCAAAUUUGGAGAGGCACCCAAAAAGGUGCCGGGGCUU